rnacentral:misc_RNA from 1 species
GAACGCACCUUGCGCCCUUUGGCUAUUCCGAAGGGCAUGCCUGUUUGAGUGUCAUUAAAUUCUCAACCAUUGAACUUGUUUCUUUGGCUUGGAUGUGGGGGUUGCGGGCUUCGCAAGAGGUCGGCUCUCCUUAAAUGCAUUAGUGGAAACCGCUUGCAGGAUUCAUUCACUUUUUGGCGUGAUAGUAUCGUCGUCAAAGGUAGUGUCUCCGAGGUAUCUGCUCUCUAACCGUCCUUUACAGGACUCUUAAUGACUUGUUUGACCUCAAAUCAGGUAGGACUACCCGCUGAACUUAAG